rnacentral:rRNA from 1 species
CCUGCCCAGUGAUGUUUAAGUUUAACGGCCGCGGUAGUAUGACCGUGCUAAGGUAGCAUAAUAAUUUGUCCUUUAAUUGGGGACUGGUAUGAACGGUUGAACAAGAAAUUAACUGUCUCUAUUGCAAAUCUUGCAAUUUUACAUUUAAGUGAAAAGGCUUAAAUAGUAUAGGGGGACGAUAAGACCCUAUAAAUCUUUAUAUUUUAGUCGAUAAGUUUUAGGAAUUAGUUACACACUUAGUAUCAUUGGACUAAAAUAUUUUGUUGGGGCGACAGAAGUAUAAUAAGUAACUGCUUUGUUUAUAAAUUAAUUAUUUUUAUUAUGAGAGCUGAUAUAGAUCCUCUUUAGAGAAAUCAGAUUAAGUUACUUUAGGGAUAACAGCGUAAUCUUUUUUGAGAGUUCAUAUCGAAAAAAUGGUUUGCGACCUCGAUGUUGAAUUAAAGAUCCUUAAUGGCGUAGGGGC